rnacentral:rRNA from 1 species
ACAUGUGUAAACCCUACAAGGCAUCUCUAAUCAAAACAAUAUAAAAUCAAUCCAUAAUUAAUUCAGAAUAACUUAGUACUACAAAGGAAAUAAGAUUUUUAGCUUAAAGUAGUGAUACCUCACGUACCUUGUGCAUUAUGGUUUUACAAUCUAAAAAUUAAUAAUAUUCUCCCGAAUUCUACGCGAGCUGUUCACCUAUAGCUUAGAGCUCACUACUAGUUGUGUCAUCAACUUUAGAAAAUAUGGGGACAGAGGCUACAUACCAAACGCGCUAGAACAUUGCUGGUUUUCAGCAAAAUUUAUAAAUUAAUACAUAUAGAAAUCCUAUAGUGUUAGAUCUCAGAGGAUAAGCCCUGUGAUCUAAAGCCAGUAUCUUUUUAAUAGUAACCUUCUAUAGGCCUAAAAUCAGCCAUCCUUAAUACUUUAUCGUAUUAUAUAAAUAAUAUAUAAUCCUAGCUGCUACAAAAAGCUGAAAUUUAAGAAAACCUUGUAAUCUUAAACUAUUCUGUAAAAAUAAGUAUUAGUAUUUACUUCAAUAAUUUACGUUAAAAUUUUCUUAAAAAUUAUUCCUAA